rnacentral:rRNA from 1 species
AUUGAACGCUGGCGGCAGGCCUAACACAUGCAAGUCGAGCGGAUGAAGGGAGCUUGCUCCUGGAUUCAGCGGUGGACGGGUGAGUAAUGCCUAGGAAUCUGCCUGGUAGUGGGGGAUAACGUCCGGAAACGGGCGCUAAUACCGCAUACGUCCUGAGGGAGAAAGUGGGGGAUCUUCGGACCUCACGCUAUCAGAUGAGCCUAGGUCGGAUUAGCUAGUUGGUGGGGUAAAGGCCUACCAAGGCGACGAUCCGUAGCUGGUCUGAGAGGAUGAUCAGUCACACUGGAACUGAGACACGGUCCAGACUCCUACGGGAGGCAGCAGUGGGGAAUAUUGGACAAUGGGCGAAAGCCUGAUCCAGCCAUGCCGCGUGUGUGAAGAAGGUCUUCGGAUUGUAAAGCACUUUAAGUUGGGAGGAAGGGCAGUAAGUUAAUACCUUGCUGUUUUGACGUUACCAACAGAAUAAGCACCGGCUAACUUCGUG